UUGACGGGAACUCAAAAUGAAUCUUUGAACAUUCCCGCUGGAGAUGCACGGCCUAAGAAUAUAAACUCAAAGGAAUUGACUGUGCUCUCGUAAGAAUGUAGAUGUGGCUGUAUAGGCUGUAGAGUGGCUCGGUAAACUGUUUGUAGUUGUCUGGAAGUGAAAAACCAGUGGACUGAACCCCGCGGUGUACAUAUGGGUACGGGCAGACUAGAGUGCGGUAGGGGAGACUGGAAUUCCUGGUGUAGCGGUGAAAUGCGCAGAUAUCAGGAGGAACACCGAUGGCGAAGGCAGGUCUCUGGGCUGUUACUGACGCUGAGGAGCGAAAGCAUGGGGAGCGAACAGGAUUAGAUACCCUGGUAGUCCAUGCCGUAAACGUUGGGCACUAGGUGUGGGGGACAUUCCACGUUUUCCGCGCCGUAGCUAACGCAUUAAGUGCCCCGCCUGGGGAGUACGGCCGCAAGGCUAAAACUCAAA
rnacentral:rRNA from 1 species